rnacentral:lncRNA from 10 species
CCUGAACAGACUGCAGAGUAAAUAUGGCUCCCUGUACAGAAGAGAUAAUGUCAUCCUGAGUGGCACUCACACUCAUUCAGGUCCUGCAGGAUAUUUCCAGUAUACCGUGUUUGUAAUUGCCAGUGAAGGAUUUAGCAAUCAAACUUUUCAGCACAUGGUCACUGGUAUCUUGAAGAGCAUUGACAUAGCACACACAAAUAUGAAACCAGGCAAAAUCUUCAUCAAUAAAGGAAAUGUGGAUGGUGUGCAGAUCAACAGAAGUCCGUAUUCUUACCUUCAAAAUCCGCAGUCAGAGAGAGCAAGGUAUUCUUCAAAUACAGACAAGGAAAUGAUAGUUUUGAAAAUGGUAGAUUUGAAUGGAGAUGACUUGGGCCUUAUCAGUUUUUCAUUCAGCAAGUCUGCACUAGGGACCUACUAUGAGCCACGCAAUACUUCCUUGGAAUGAUGUAUUCCCUGGCCUUGAAAUAAGGAAUCUAGUACCCAUGUUUGUGCUACUGGAAUGAAUCCAUUAAACUCUCUGAGACUCAGUUGCCGUAUUUUCAAAUGUGGCUAUCAUAUCUUCUCUCCACACAGAGAUUAUUAUGGGAUACACUGAUGAACAAAUAUAGAUGGAGUUGCUGCCCUUAUAGGACUUCAGUCUACUGAGGGAGACAGAAGGCAUACAGAUAGGCAUACAAUACAUGUAAAAUUAUAAUUGGGCUCAGUGCUAAGAAAGGC